rnacentral:rRNA from 1 species
UGGAUCCAGACUUUGAUUAUGGCUCAGGACGAACGCUGGCGGCGUGCCUAACACAUGCAAGUCGAACGGAGAUGUUUAUUUCGGUAGACAUCUUAGUGGCGCACGGGUGAGUAACGCGUGAAUAACCUGACCCGAAGAGGGGGAUAACACCUGGAAACAAGUGCUAAUACCGCAUAAGACCACGGACCGGCAUCGGUCAGAGGUCAAAGGAGGAAUCCGCUUUGGGAGGGGUUCGCGUCCCAUUAGGUAGUUGGUGAGGUAACGGCCCACCAAGCCGACGAUGGGUAGCCGAGCUGAGAGGCUGAUCGGCCACACUGGAACUGAGACACGGUCCAGACUCCUACGGGAGGCAGCAGUGGGGAAUAUUGGGCAAUGGGCGCAAGCCUGGCCCAGCAACGCCGCGUGAGGGAAGAAGGGUUUCGGAUUGUAAACCUCUGUCGCAGGGGACGAAGGAAGUGACGGUACCCUGUAAGAAAGCCCCGGCUAACUACGUGCCGGCAGCCGCGGUAAUACGUAGGGGGCGAGCGUUGUCCGGAAUUACUGGGCGUAAAGGGAGCGUAGGCGGUCGAUUAAGUUAGAUGUGAAACCCCCGGGCUUAACUUGGGGACUGCAUCUAAUACUGGUUGACUUAGAGUACAGGAGAGGGAAGCGGAAUUCCUAGUGUAGCGGUGGAAUGCGUAGAUAUUAGGAGGAACACCAGUGGCGAAGGCGGCUUUCUGGACUGACACUGACGCUGAGGCUCGAAAGCGUGGGGAGCAAACAGGAUUAGAUACCCUGGUAGUCCACGCUGUAAACGAUGAAUACUAGGUGUAGGGGGUAUCAACUCCCUCUGUGCCGCAGCAAACGCGAUAAGUAUUCCGCCUGGGGAGUACGGCCGCAAGGUUGCAACUCAAAUGAAUUGACGGA